GUCAGUUGAUAUUUGAUCCAGGUCUGGUCAGUUGAUAUUUGAUCCAGGUCUGGUCAGUUGAUAUUUGAUCCAGGUCUGGUCAGUAGUCAGUUGAUAUUUGAUCCAGGUCUGGUCAGUUGAUAUUUGAUCCAGGUCUGGUCAGUAGUCAGUUGAUAUUUGAUCCAGGUCUGGUCAGUUGAUAUUUAAUCCAGGUCUGGUCAGUAGUCAGUUGAUAUUUGACUCAGGUCUGGUCAGUUGAUAUUUGAUCCAGGUCUGGUCAGUUGAUAUUUGAUCCAGGUCUGGUCAGUAGAUAUUUGAUCCAGGUCUGGUCAGUUGAUAUUUGAUCCAGGUCUGGUCAGUUGAUAUUUGAUCCAGGUCUGGUCAGUAGUCAGUUGAUAUUUGAUCCAGGUCUGGUCAGUAGUCAGUUGAUAUUUGAUCCAGGUCUGGUCAGUAGUCAGUUGAUAUUUGAUCCAGGUCUGGUCAGUAGUCAGUUGAUAUUUGAUCCAGGUCUGGUCAGUAGUCAGUUGAUAUUUGAUCCAGGUCUGGUCAGUAGUCAGUUGAUAUUUGAUCCAGGUCUGGUCAGU
ensembl:lncRNA